GAGGUGCUCAGUAGUCAGUGUAGAUCCUGUAUUCUAAUCAGCAGCUACAUCUGGCUACUGGGUCUCUG
rnacentral:pre_miRNA from 12 species